ensembl:lncRNA
AGAAGGGCAGGUUGUAAAGAGGGAAGGGUAUGGAAUACUGGCACCAGAGGACAGGGGAUUGUCUGGCUUUCUAGAUGGUAAGGCCAGGCACAGCACUGCAGCAUACUGCUGCUACUAUCAAUCAAUUCCCUCUAGUCCUGAGAUAGGCAGCCUGUGGCAUCCCAGAUGUAGUUGGAUUGUAGCUUUCAUUAGCCAUUGAUUAUGCUGACUAGGGUUGGUUGGAGUUCUAGUCCAUGAAUAACACAAGUUCACCAAUCCUGCUCUAGGCCUUGAUAUGGUGGCCAAGUCUCUCGAUUUAAUGGAAAGUGGUUCCCUCUUUGAAGGGCUGUGUCAGGGAACUGCCAUCGGAAGGACAGGAGGUGGAAAGGCUCACUGAGGUUGAGAGAGACGUAGCAGCUGAAGAGGGAACCAGUAGGGGGAGAGAAGGAACUCCAAGGGAAAGUGAGUCGGAGGGAUGGCUCAGAGACGCUUCCAGCGAAAACAGUGGGGAGGUCUCAGGGACACCCACUCCUCGCCGGAAACUGUCACGCAGAGAGUCCAGAAGACGUGUUUCCGUUAAGGAGCUUUUAUGUUGGAAGAGAUUCUGAAAGCAACCACUUUCGGACUCUGCUAGCGACUGACGCAGCCAUGCCGGAGGGGCUCCGUCACAGGCAGAGGUUUGAGAACCUGAUCAAACUCUGAGGGACUUGCAUUUUACGCACAAGCAGCUCAUUAUCCCAUCACAGGCUGUCAAAGGAGUCUUCUAAUGGAAGGCAUCCUCUAUUUGAAUGGUCACCUGGUCCAUUUGAUCUGGCUUAAAGAUGCAGAACCCUAAGAAGAGAGAUCAGCUGGAGUCUUGAAGUUGCCCAUCAACACUAAGCACUUGAAUAUUAGACUGAUCAGUAACAACAACAACAACAUCAACAACAACAAGGCUUAUCUGGUCAGUCUCCCCCACUAUGCCAAGAUGUAUGGUAUUUCUAUUUAAAUUAGAACAUUUUUUCUAAUUAUGAAUAUAAGCUGACUCGUGGAACUAUUAUGAAAAUCUGUGUCCUUUUUUAUUGAUGAAUAAGUGGCCACCCUAGAUCUUGAGCGAGGGGAACUCCACGAUCUGUGAGAUAAUUUUACAUUUGGAAGGGGGCAAGUGCCAGUUAAAUAUCUGAGUCAUUGCUGAGUUCAAUCUGUUUCCCUCUCAUCUCCCCUUCAUUAAAGUGUGUAGCAGGAACAAGCAAUCUGGCACUCAAAGGGGUCAUUCUUGAUCUGCUGAACUGAGUUCCAACAUUAUGAAGCUUUGUUAAUAUCACAAUUGAGGGAGAACUCAGAUAGGUAGCAGAAAGAAAGAAAGAAAGAAAGAAAGAAAGAAAGAAAGAAAGAAAGAGAGAGAAAGGAAUAGCCUUUAGUAGGCAAUCUUAAAGAGGAAUCCUUGUGAGGAGCAUGGAUCAUCCAUGGUGUUAAGUAAAGGACAAGGAGAUUGCACAUGUCGUACAAAAUAAACCCCUUGUAGGCAAGAAGCAUCUGGGGAGAUGGGUUGUUAAUGCCUUUCUGGCUCAGGGUAAUGGUAGUAAAACACAUGAAGUAGGAGAUGUUUCCUCUUUGCCCCUAUUAGACAGGAUCCUUCAAUGGGGAUGGAAGGGAUUCUUUGCUAUAUAUUUGAGAGAUGUUUGAGAC